rfam:Triticum aestivum genome assembly, contig: Triticum_aestivum_CS42_TGACv1_scaffold_195219_3AL
GUUAUACUCCCUCCGUUCCGAAUUACUUGUCGCGGGUAUGGAUGCAUCUAGAUGUAUUUUAGUUCUAGAUACAUUCAUUUAUGCGACGAGUAAUUUGGAACGGAGGGAGUAGAAA